rnacentral:misc_RNA from 1 species
AUAUAAAAACAAAAGUCACGAAUUAGAAAGUAAAGAUAUGUGAUAA